rnacentral:rRNA from 1 species
UACAGAGGGUGCGAGCGUUGUCCGGAAUCACUGGGCGUAAAGGGCGCGUAGGCGGUGACUUAAGCGUGUGGUGAAAGCUCGGGGCUCAACCCCGAGUCGGCCGUGCGAACUGGGUCACUGGAGCAUGUCAGAGGCAGGCGGAAUUCCGGGUGUAGCGGUGGAAUGCGUAGAGAUCCGGAAGAACACCGGUGGCGAAGGCGGCCUGCUGGGACAUGGCUGACGCUGAGGCGCGACAGCGUGGGGGAGCAAACAGG